CGACCCCCCUGCACCGUACCGGGCCACCUCUCACCUGCGUCUAGGUUGAAGGAGAUGCGGGCCUCGGCGAGGUAGGGGGUGUCGCUCUUGGAGCGGACGCGGCGGAUGGGUCUGCGGUCGAUGUCCUCCUCGGAAGAUGCCGCCAUUAAUGUGGGCACGGUGACUUUGUGGAAGUAGAGAAAUGCAGAGCUGUCUGUGGCAGGGGAAAGUGGAUGAAACUAGGAAAAUAGAUCUUUCAGCUUCUUUACUCUAACAACUCAUAUGAAUUUCUGUAACAAAGAAGUUCUUGUCAUCUAGUCCCAGACUUCUCACCAUCUUCUCUCUGAGGACUUCUAUCACCACCACUUUGAUUUGUUCCUUCAAGUCACGUCUGCCAGCUGAAGAUGGACCAGAGCAACAGUGAGUCCAAGAUUGAGCAUCCCAGCUGCAUUUUGUUCCUCAGUUUAUUGCAGCUCUGGAUUUUGUGAAGGAAACCAGAAGAGAGGACCUAAUCCCUUGACUCUGAGGUACUGCAGUUUUUUCUUCAGAUGGAAAAUUCUCAUAAAAAAGCCCUAAAAAGAAACAGAGGCAUGUUCUGUUUUAGUGUCAUCCCCUUGUUUCAUCCAACUACAAGCCCUUGAUCCCGUUUCCACAGUGCAAAUCCAGGCUCUAACAGCAGGGUACUUCAACAAUUGACCUGAGCAAACAUGCCAAGGCAUGACCAAAGGCCCAAGGUGUGCAAACAUAUAACAAAGCAAGGAGCCCCGCUUAAAGCUUUCCAAACCGAGUGCAAGAUGAAAUACCACAGAUGGAUGAAAGGAAGGCAGGAAGAAACAAAAGGAAACUGCAGGUGGAGAUCUAUUGAGUCAUUGCCACCUGCACUGCAAGGACAAGGAUUAAAUGGUGCUGCUGAGGAAAAUGGAGCAAGAUAACAAAUGAGGGGAGUGCAGUUGUGUGUCCUCUUCACAUGGAACCUUAAUUCUUUCUUUAAACUGCAGCAGCAUCUUGCUCUUCUUGAACUAUUUCCCUACCUUAUGCUAAAAUCUACUACUGCAAAUACCCAUGCAAAUAACCCUGUGGAAAAAAAAUAAAUAAAUAAAAAAAGGCUGACGUGAGCUGGUACAUUUGCUAACAAACUAAUAAAAGGUCUGUAAUGGGGCAUAUACACUCAACUUAUAGAGUCUGUGGUGACAGCAUAUAUGACUACUACAUGCAAAAUUCAAGAAAGAAGGUAUAAAGAAAAGCAUUGUUGUUUACAGAAAUAUAUCAAAAUGACACCAUUGCUAAAAGAGGUGGUAGCAAACCAGCAAAAUAGUGUUUGCCUUCUUUCAUUUACAUGACUGCUAUUUAAGAACAAAAUACAUACAGUAAAUGGAUAGUUCCAUAGUUUGUUCAUCUAGGUCCUAAUAAAAUGUACUCAAGACUGUGUUUGUGCUUUCUUGAAGCCACACUGAUCUCCCAGCUCCUGCAUGCUUCUUUGAUUGUUCCCUGCUGGCUUUGUCUCUGUGGAUCGUAGCCUCUCUUGGUAGAGCUGUGCACAGGACAGAGAGGUCUUUUUCAUAUUCCUGAAGUGGAUAGCAUGUUUUUAGCAGUACUCAAAUCUUCAUACACAAAUUAAAAGAAAUAAUACUUCUCUGCAAUAGUACUUUUCUGCACUUUUUUUUUGUUUUGUUUUUAACAAAGCUGCAAGUAUAAGAGUAAAGGAAAAGCAAUGUGCAGGAACUGAAUCAACAUACUGUAUAAACACAGCAAAUAGCGUCAUAAUGACUAUGUCAUCUUAUCAUAGAGGUGCAUAGUUUUGUAUGCAAAUGUUACCUCAAGCAUAGUCAACUAUCUACAAUAAAGAACAUUUAUGGUAGGAAAUAUAAGAAUCAUUUUACGUUCUUUCAUUAUUAUAAUUGGCUUCCACAAUAGCAUGAAAAAUUUACACAGAUCUAUGUCUAAUUUAACAGACAUUUUCAUUAGCUUUUAGCUUGCUGCUUUUAUACUAGAUGUCAUGCAAGGCUUGUUAAAACAUGAAGGGGGAACAGAGCUGAACAUGGGCUGAACAGAGAUGGAGCCACAAUUACAGACUCCCUUGUGCCAGUGUCAUGGACCAUUAGCAGAGUGCAAGGGGGGUUCGUGCAGCUCCCCUGGUGCCCCAUUUCAUAGCCAGAAAAUUUUACAAUAAUUUAAUUUCUGCACCAGCCAAUACCUUCCUAAGAUUGCCACCUUCUUGAGCCCUCUGAGAAACAAAACCCUGGGUCUUUGAAGACACAGGAGAUGCAAACUGGAAAUGAUUUUAUUAUACUGUUGUCCCCUGCAACAGAAGCUGGUGCAGCAUGGCCUAAACCAGACAUACCUGACCCUUACCUUCAUGGGAAGUCAAUGAGAGGAUGCACACAGAGAUGCUGCAAACAGGAUCCUGAGUAAAGCCUUUUAAUAGCUACCCAAAGCAGACUCGUGGCCUGCUCUUUGAAGACUUUUUUCCUUCAUUUCGGAUUUUUAUGUGGGGGGCAGUUAGAAUAGAAAGUCCAGUAAAUACCCUCAGUAAAUAAUAAAACUAGACAAGGAAGUCACCGAUGUCAGCAAAAUUACAGUUACAAAUAUCAUUAUAAGGUUAUUUCACAGUCUUUAUGCUCCAGAAGAGAGAGAAUUUUCUUUUAAUGUAAUUUAAAAAAAAAAAUCCAAUUGAACAGCUUGUGUAGCAGUAAUAUAUGAGGCUAA